ensembl:snRNA U6 U6 spliceosomal RNA
GUGCUUACUUUAGAAGCACAGAUAAUAACAAGGGAAAUACACAGAGAAGAUCAGCAUGGUCCUUGUGCAAGGAUAACACACAAAUUCAUAAAGCAUGCCUAUUAAAA